GACGAACGCUGGCGGCGUGCUUAACACAUGCAAGUCGAAGGAUGAAGUUCCUUCGGGAAUGGAUUAGUGGCGAACGGGUGAGGAACACGUGAGAAACCUGCCUUUCGUUUUGGGAUAACUCCGGGAAACCGGGGCUAAAACCGAAUACUCCGUCUCGGCGGCAUCGCUGAGCCGGGAAAAAAUUUUGAUGAAAGAUGGUCUCGCGGCCUAUCAGCUAGUUGGUGAGGUAAUGGCUCACCAAGGCAACGACGGGUAGCCGGCCUGAGAGGGCGACCGGCCACACGGGGACUGAGACACGGCCCAGACUCCUACGGGAGGCAGCAGUGGGGAAUAUUGGGCAAUGGGCGCAAGCCUGACCCAGCGACGCCGCGUGAGGGAUGAAGGCCUUCGGGUUGUAAACCUCUUUCAGUAGGGAAGAAGCGAAAGUGACGGUACCUAAAGAAGAAGCACCGGCUAACUAUGUGCCAGCCGCCGCCGUAA
rnacentral:rRNA from 1 species